GACGAACGCUGGCGGCGUGCUUAACACAUGCAAGUCGAACGAAGUGGCGAACGGGUGAGUAACGCGUAAUCAACCUGCCCUUCAGAGGGGGACACCAGUUGGAAACGACUGCUAAUACCGCAUAUUGAUUGUGGGGAUUGUGUCUGAUUAGCUAGUUGGUGGGGUAACGGCCCACCAAGGCGAUGCUCAUUAGCCGGUCUGAGAGGAUGAACGGCCACAUUUGGACUGGGACACGGCCCAGACUCCUACGGGAGGCAGCAGUGGGGAAUCUUCCGCAAUGGACGAAAGUCUGACGGAGCAACGCCGCGUGAGUGAUGACGGCCUUCGGGUUGUAAAGCUCUGUUAAUCGGGACGCGGUACCGGAAUAGAAAGCCACGGCUAACUACGUGCCAGCAGCCGCGGUAAUAC
rnacentral:rRNA from 1 species